CAAAGAAUAGUUUAAAAAAUAAUAAUUUUGGAGAUUAUAGAUAAAGAGUUUCUUUUUCUUUGA
rnacentral:tRNA from 3 species